GACGAACGCUGGCGGCGUGCCUAAUACAUGCAAGUCGAACGCAGUGGGGACGGGUGAGUAACACGUGGGUAACCUCCCAUCAGAGGGGAUAACACUUGGAAACAGGUGCUAAACCGAUACUGAUGGAUGGACCCGCGGUGCAUUAGCUAGUUGGUGAGGUAACGGCUCACCAAGGCCACGAUGCAUAGCCGACCUGAGAGGGUGAACGGCCACACUGGGACUGAAAAACGGCCCAGAUGCCUACGGGAGGUAGCAGUAGGGAAAUGUCGGGAAUGGACGAAAGUCUGACCGAGCAAGGCCGCGUGAGUGAAGAAGGUUUUCGGAUAGUAAAACUCUUUUGUAAGAGAAGGGGAAUCUAACCAGAAAGCCACGGCUAACUACGUGCAAGCGGCGGCGGAAAAC
rnacentral:rRNA from 1 species